rnacentral:snRNA from 1 species
AUACUUACCUGGCAAGGGAGAUACCAUGAUCAUGAAGAUGGUUUUCCCAGGGCAAGGCUUAUCCAUUGCACUCCGGAUGUGCUGACCCCUGCGAUUUCUCCAAAUGCGGGAAACUUGACUGCAUAAUUUGUGGUAGUGGGGGGCUGGUUUCAUGUUCUCCCCUG